rnacentral:rRNA from 1 species
CGAAGGGUGCAAGCGUUACUCGGAAUUACUGGGCGUAAAGCGUGCGUAGGUGGUUUGUUAAGUCUGAUGUGAAAGCCCUGGGCUCAACCUGGGAAUUGCAUUGGAUACUGGCAGGCUAGAGUGCGGUAGAGGGUAGUGGAAUUCCCGGUGUAGCAGUGAAAUGCGUAGAGAUCGGGAGGAACAUCUGUGGCGAAGGCGACUACCUGGACCAGCACUGACACUGAGGCACGAAAGCGUGGGGAGCAAACAGGAUUAGAUACCCUGGUAGUCCACGCCCUAAACGAUGCGAACUGGAUGUUGGGCUCAACUUGGAGCUCAGUAUCGAAGCUAACGCGUUAAGUUCGCCGCCUGGGGAGUACGGUCGCAAGACUG